AGUCAUGUGGCCGAGAGGAUAGGUAGGGGUCUGCAAAACCUUCCACGGUGGUUCGAAUCCACCCAUGACGU
rnacentral:tRNA from 1 species